rnacentral:rRNA from 1 species
GAUGAACGCUGGCGGCGUGCCUAAUACAUGCAAGUCGAGCGAACGGACGAGAAGCUUGCUUUUCUGAUGUUAGCGGCGGACGGGUGAGUAACACGUGGAUAAACUACCUAUAAGACUGGGAUAAAUUCGGGAAACAGGAGCUAAUACAGGAUAAUAUUUUGAACCGCAUGGUUCAAAAGUGAAAGACGGUCUUGCUGUCACGUAUAGAUGGAUCCGCGCUGCAUUAGCUAGUUGGUAAGGUAACGGCUUACCAAGGCAACGAUGCAUAGCCGACCUGAGAGGGUGAUCGGCCACACUGGAACUGAGCCACGGUCCAGACUCCUACGGGAGGCAGCAGUAGGGAAUCUUCCGCAAUGGGCGAAAGCCUGACGGAGCAACGCCGCGUGAGUGAUGAAGGUCUUCGGAUCGUAAAACUCUGUUAUUAGGGAAGAACAUAUGUGUAAGUAACUGUGCACAUCUUGACGGUACCUAAUCAGAAAGCCACGGCUAACUACGUG